rnacentral:rRNA from 1 species
ACCGAGUUUACAACUCCCAAACCCCUGUGAACAUACCAAUUGUUGCCUCGGCGGAUCAGCCCGCUCCCGGUAAAACGGGACGGCCCGCCAGAGGACCCCUAAACUCUGUUUCUAUAUGUAACUUCUGAGUAAAACCAUAAAUAAAUCAAAACUUUCAACAACGGAUCUCUUGGUUCUGGCAUCGAUGAAGAACGCAGCAAAAUGCGAUAAGUAAUGUGAAUUGCAGAAUUCAGUGAAUCAUCGAAUCUUUGAACGCACAUUGCGCCCGCCAGUAUUCUGGCGGGCAUGCCUGUUCGAGCGUCAUUUCAACCCUCAAGCCCAGCUUGGUGUUGGGACUCGCGAGUUAAACCGCGUUCCCCAAAUUGAUUGGCGGUCACGUCGAGCUUCCAUAGCGUAGUAGUAAAACCCUCGUUACUGGUAAUCGUCGCGGCCACGCCGUUAAACCCCAACUUCUGAAUGUUGACCUCGGAUCAGGUAGGAAUACC